ensembl:lncRNA
CAGGAUUAGUGCUCUACAAAGGGCGGGUAGGAGCAUUAUAGUGAGAUGGAGACUCUCCAUAGGAGGCACCCAUACAUCCCAGCUGCGGGGAGGGGAGGGGGAGGCAUUGCGGCCCGGCCAAGUUUGCUGAGCAGCCGACUCACCCUGGACACGGGCGUCAAAACCGACAGCAGCGCGGGUGCGUGCAGAUAGGUUUGGGAGCUCUUCGUUUCCUAUGGUCACACUAUGCAUGCGUGGAAAAUUAAUGCCAAUGACAAAACCUCUGCAAGGACAUCAGCACCCACCUGGGGAGCACCAUAGUGAGGCUGUGGAUGUCAGCAGGGCGAGCUGCAAUACCACAGCCCGCGCGUUAAACGGGAAAUGAAACAGAAAUGGAAAUGAACGCCCGCAUCUGUCCCGUUUUUAAGGUAAAGGCAGAAAUCACCUCGUGUCUCCCAGUCCGGCCACGUUCACCCAAGGAAGGUGGGGAGAAGUCAAUGUCCAGGGAAAAUGUGCAACCAUCAUCUGCAAACGAAGAGUGGGAAAUCCUACGGGAUACGGUGAUGGAGCAAAAGGGGGGGAUGGAAAACAUCUGUACGUCGGUUGAGCAUCGGGAGCCUUUGUGCCCGAGUCGUUUUGGAAGGCGGAGGGGCAUCGGGACUUCCCGUCCCUCCCUGUGCCCUUCCUGUGUUGCGCAGCGGUCACAGAGAAGGACGCACCGGGGAGCGCUGGGCACAGCCGUGUCCCCGAAAUUUGCACCUGCAAAGAGGGAGCGAGCCAGGCGAGGGGAAUGUGCGACCGGAUGGAGAAAUAUCGAAUGUUUCUGGCCGUGUGCGUUGCCAGAGGUUUGCACAUUUUGUCUGAAAACACCCAGAGUUAGAGGCGGAGAGGAGGGAGGGGGGAUUUUAAUAAAAACCAUUUGCCACUUGUCUUCAAUUAGAGUCCAGACAUCGAGCAAUAAGGAAAAAACCUUUUCUAAAAUAUGUAUAUUUAUAUAUAUAUAUAUUAUUAUUAUCUCGCUAGCAGUCGGGCUGAAGAGGUAAAGGCGGUUCGCACGCAACGAUUUCAGGGCAAGGAGUUAAAACGAGCGAGCGAAUUCAGGCGUCGUUGUCGCCGUUCGUGCCGGCUCCUCCUGCCCCGGCAGCUCCCCGCCUCGCCCCGGCACACGCCGCGGAGCUUCGCACCGCUUCCCCGCACGGGAAGGGCUCCUCCGCCCGCGGACGGACCCCCGACGGCAG